rnacentral:rRNA from 1 species
GACGAACGCUGGCGGCGUGCUUAACACAUGCAAGUCGAACGGAAAGGCCCUGCUCUUGUGGGGUGCUCGAGUGGCGAACGGGUGAGUAACACGUGAGUAACCUGCCCUUGACUUUGGGAUAACUUCAGGAAACUGGGGCUAAUACCGGAUAGGAGCUCCUGCUGCAUGGUGGGGGUUGGAAAGUUUCGGCGGUUGGGGAUGGACUCGCGGCUUAUCAGCUUGUUGGUGGGGUAGUGGCUUACCAAGGCUUUGACGGGUAGCCGGCCUGAGAGGGUGACCGGCCACAUGGGGACUGAGAUAGGGCCCAGACUCCUACGGGAGGCAGCAGUGGGGAAUAUUGCACAAUGGGCGGAAGCCUGAUGCAGCAGCGCCGCGUGCGGGAUGACGGCUUUCGGGUUGUAAACCGCUUUCGCCUGUGACGAAGCGUGAGUGACGGUAAUGGGUAAAGAAGCACCGGCUAACUACGUG